rnacentral:rRNA from 1 species
CAGCNUCCUGGGAUAACACUGACGUUCAUGCCNGAAAGCGUGGGUAGCAAACAGGAUUAGAUACCCUGGUAGUCCACGCCCUAAACGAUGUCGAUUAGCUGUUGGGCAGCAUGACUGCUUAGUAGCGAAGCUAACGCGUGAAAUCGACCGCCUGGGGAGUACGGUCGCAAGAUCAAAACUCAAAGGAAUUGACGGGGACCCGCACAAGCGGUGGAUGAUGUGGAUUAAUUCGAUGCAACGCGAAGAACCUUACCUGGUCUUGACAUGUACGGAACCCUCCAGAGACGGAGGGGUGCCUUCGGGAGCCGUAACACAGGUGCUGCAUGGCUGUCGUCAGCUCGUGUCGUGAGAUGUUGGGUUAAGUCCCGCAACGAGCGCAACCCUUGUCAUUAGUUGCCAUCAUUAAGUUGGGCACUCUAAUGAGACUGCCGGUGACAAGCCGGAGGAAGGUGGGGAUGACGUCAAGUCCUCAUGGCCCUUAUGACCAGGGCUUCACACGUCAUACAAUGGUCGGUACAGAGGGUAGCCAAGCCGCGAGGUGGAGCCAAUCUCACAAAACCGAUCGUAGUCCGGAUUGCACUCUGCAACUCGAGUGCAUGAAGUCGGAAUCGCUAGUAAUCGCAGGUCAGCAUACUGCGGUGAAUACGUUCCCGGGUCUUGUACACACCGCCCGUCACACCAUGGGAGUGGGGGAUACCAGAAGUA